GCUACUGUAAUGACAGCUCAAAGCUGUCCACGUCAACACUGUGCUACCACCAUGGACUCCGCGGCUCUGGAACCCACGCUCUACACUGUGAAGGCCAUCUUCAUUUUAGACAAUGAUGGAAACAGACUGCUUUCAAAGUACUAUGAUCCAGAUCUCUACCCCUCCAUGAAAGAGCAGAAGAAUUUUGAAAAGAACGUCUUCAACAAAACACAUAAAGCUGACAAUGAAAUUGCUUUCUUAGAGGGAAUGACGAUAGUCUACAAGAGCAGCAUAGACUUGUUCUUUUAUGUGGUUGGCAGCGCUCAGGAGAAUGAGCUCAUGCUGAUGGCUGUGUUGAACUGCUUGUUUGAGUCUCUCAGUCAGAUGUUGAGGAAGAAUGUGGAGAAAAGGACUCUGCUGGAUAAUAUGGAUGGAGUGUUCCUCGUGGUGGAUGAAAUCAUCGAUGGAGGGGUGAUCCUGGAAAGUGACCCCCAACAGGUGAUUGAAAAGGUCAAUUACAGGUGUGUGUCGGAGCAAGCGUAUGGCUUCGUCCUUUUUGAUUACAUCACUGGUAACAUGGAGGGCCAAGGAGAGAGACGGCAACUACUGUAGCUCUCCUUCAGCCCCCCCCUCCCUCUCUCCCUCCGGGAGAGAGAGGGACGAGGGCAGAUGACAACCCAUUAUCAGAACAGAGUGUGGCACAGGUGUUACAGUCAGCAAAGGAGCAGAUCAAGUGGUCAAUUCUGAAAUAACACUUUCCAUGACCUGAAGGAAUCUGUAAAUUAUUGCAAGGGAUUUUUUUUUUAUUUCUAAUGAGUUGUAAUUUAAUUAAUUAUUGAAGUAGUGCACAUGGGCAGUUGCAUCUCAUGUUUAGUGCUGAAAUAUUUAUAUUUUUUGUUAAAGAGUAACAGGUCAUUUGUGUUUUUUAAACGAUAUGAAGAAGCAUAUUUGCUUACUGGGUUCUGAACCAAAAAUCAACCAGUACACAAAUACAUGUCUAUUUCCAAAGCAGCUUCAAAGCAAUUACAAUUAUUUGUAACCCUAGCAAAUAUUGAUAUAGUACUAUGUUUAGAGAAGGUACAGUCAUGUUUUCUUUUAGCAUGACCUAUUAUUUAAUUGGUCAAAACUUGAUUGUCUAAACCUGUUGUAGUCUUUUAUCAGUUUUUGUAUUUUUGUUUUGCUUUACAAACUUUUGUCAAAAAAAAAAAAAAAAUAAUAAUAAUGGAUGAAGUUCUGUUACACUAUGCCUAUAUAUAACUAAAUAUUUUGCUAUAUUUAAAAAAAUGUAUGUUUUUUUAAUAUAAUAUUUUAGGCAAUAUUAUGAAAUUGAUAUGAGCCAGACAGAGGCAUUAAUAUUAUGAUGCAGCCCACUAUAAUAAUAAUAAUAAUAAAAUGAACUGUCCUAAAAGCCACACCUAAACACUACGUGUAUUGUAGUUUAUAAAUAUGGAAAGUAAUAGCAUUUAAGAGGUAAAAAAAAUUGUUUUGAUGAUACAAAAUAAGUUUUUCCGAUUAAGUGUUUACAUAAAAACAGAAAUAUUUUAUUUUCUAGUAAAAUAAACUGCGUGUUUUCUGUUGUUUAAAUCUGUAUGGUUUCACGAAAUAAUUAUGCACAAAAAUGUCACUAAAAACGAAUAAACAUGAGUCUUUUUA